rfam:Ovis aries breed Texel chromosome 2, whole genome shotgun sequence.
UCCCUGGUGUCUCAGUGGGUAAAGAAUUUGCCUGCAAUGCAGGAGACCUGGGUUCGAUCCCUCGGUUGGGAA